AUACGGAGGGUGCAAGCGUUGUUCGGAAUCACUGGGCGUAAAGGGCGCGCAGGCGGUUUGGUAAGUCAGAUGUGAAAGCCCAUGGCUCAACCAUGGAAGUGCAUUUGAAACUGUCAGACUUGAGUACUAGAGGGGAAAGUGGAAUUCCCGGUGUAGAGGUGAAAUUCGUAGAUAUCGGGAGGAAUACCGGUGGCGAAGGCGACUUUCUGGCUAGAUACUGACGCUGAGGCGCGAAAGCGUGGGGAGCAAACAGGAGUAGAAACCCCAGUAGUCC
rnacentral:rRNA from 1 species